rnacentral:rRNA from 1 species
UUCCCCUAGUACGGCGAGUGAAGAGGGAAGAGCCCAAGAUUGAAAGCUGGCGUCUUCGGCGUCCGCAUUGUAAUCUCAAGAAGUGUUUUCCGCUUCGGACCAAGCCUAAGUCCCUUGGAAAAGGGCAUCAUAGAGGGUGAUAAUCCCGUACAUGGCUUGGAGCGCCCGAAGCUUUGUGAUACGCUUUCUAAGAGUCGAGUUGUUUGGGAAUGCAGCUCAAAAUGGGUGGUAAAUGCCAUCUAAGGCUAAAUAUUGGGGAGAGACCGAUAGCGAACAAGUACAGUGAUGGAAAGAUGAAAAGAACUUUGAAAAGAGAGUUAAACAGUACGUGAAAUUGCCAAAAGGGAAGGGUAGGAGGUCAGAGAUGCGGCCUGGGAUUCAGCCUUGCUUUUGCUUGGUGUUUUUCCCAGAUUGCAGGCCAACGUCGGUUUUGGGCACUGGAGAAGGGUAGGAGGAACGUGGCACCUCUCGGGGUGUGUUAUAGCCUCCUACUGGAUACAGCGACCGAGACCGAGGACAGCAGCGUACUCGCAAGAGCGGGCCUUCGGGCACCUUUACGCUUAGGGCGUUGGCAUAAU